rnacentral:rRNA from 1 species
UGCCAGCCGCCGCGGUAAUACGGAGGGUGCAAGCGUUAUCCGGAUUUAUUGGGUUUAAAGGGUGCGUAGGCGGAAUAAUAAGUCAGUGGUGAAAUCCUGCGGCUCAACCGUAGAACUGCCAUUGAUACUGUUAUUCUUGAAUAUAGUUGAGGUAGGCGGAAUGUGUAAUGUAGCGGUGAAAUGCUUAGAUAUUACACAGAACACCGAUUGCGAAGGCAGGUGACUAACCAUGUACUGACGCUGAUGGACGAAAGCGUGGGGAGCGAACAGGAUUAGAUA